CCACACCCGAGUCAGGGACCACGAGGCUCCGGGCCGCCUCCCUCUGGUCUGAGGGUCCCCAAAGUCAAAACGAGGAGUCCAGAGGAAGUGGCCCAGCAGGAAGGAGCUGUCCAUCCCGAGACAUUCGGAGCAUGAAGAGAAAUGAAGUCUAACCUCCUUGGCUGAAUGCUGCAGGCCUUCAGUAAUCCGACCCCUGCCGGUACCUGGUACCAAGUAGCUUCUCAUGAAAUGUCUUAGGAACAAAAUGCCUCUUCCACUGAA